CACGUAGGGCGCGAGCGUUGUCCGGAAUUAUUGGGCGUAAAGAGCUCGUAGGCGGCUUGUCGCGUCGACUGUGAAAACUCGAGGCUCAACCUCGAGACGCCGAUGGAAACCAUCAGACUAGAGUCCGGAAGAGGAGAGUGGAAUUCCUGGUGUAGCGGUGAAAUGCGCAGAUAUCAGGAAGAACACCCGUGGCUAAGGCGGCUCUCUAGUACGGUACUGACGCUGAGACGCGAAAGCGUGGGGAGCGAACAGG
rnacentral:rRNA from 1 species